rnacentral:lncRNA from 1 species
AACCUUUUAACCAGAAAUGAUUUAAAAACUAACAGUAUACAUUUGUCCUCAUCUUGCUAAAGAACGUCGAAUAAUAUAUCGCUUAUACUAUUUCUGUAACUUUAAAAGUUACCUUUUAGGCGCGUCGAAUAAUAUGUCGCCUGUACUAUUUUGGCGACUUCAAACAGUACUUCCGGUUGUAUUUCUAAAUCCGUUACUCCGAGUUAAAAUUACAUUUUUAUAAAAACCGAAAUAAAUCAAAACACCCUGUAUUUAGGUAUAGGGAAACAAAUUGCAAAAAAUUCAAAAACUUAGGUCCAAAAGCUCAAAUCUCAUAUUACCCUCCCACACCUAUACAAAACUCGCACCCCUUAAAAAAUCCAAAACCACGCCCAUGACAGGUUUAAAAUCGGAACAAAAACAAAUCGCCAAAAAUUCAAAAAGCUUAAGUCCAAAAGCUUAACCUUAUAUUGCCCUCCCACACCUAUACAAAACUCGCUAUCCAUAAAAAAUACGAAAGUACGCUCCUGACAGGGUUAAAAUCGGCACAAAAAAUUCUCAAAAAAUUUAAAAAGCUUAUAUCCAAAAACACAAACCUCAUAUUGCCCCCCACGCCUAUUCAAAACUCGCACCCCUUAAAAAAUACGAAAGUACGCCCCUGACAGAGUUGAAAUCGGCAAACAAAAAUCGCAAAAAAUUUAAACAGCUAACAUCAAAAGUACAAACCUUAUAUUGCCACUCUCACACCUAUACAAAACUCGCACCCC